CCAUGAUGGAGGUGAGGUAACACACACACACACACACCAUGAUGGAGGUGAGGUAACACACACACACACACACACACCAUGAUGGAGGUGAGGUAACACACACACACACACACACCAUGAUGGAGGUGAGGUAACACACACACACACACACCAUGAUGGAGGUGAGGUAACACACACACACACACCAUGAUGGAGGUGAGGUAACACACACACACACACACCAUGAUGGAGGUGAGGUAACACACACACACACACACACCAUGAUGGAGGUGAGGUAACACACACACACACACACACCAUGAUGGAGGUGAGGUAACACACACACACACCAUGAUGGAGGUGAGGUAACACACACACACACACACACCAUGAUGGAGGUGAGGUAACACACACACACACACACACCAUGAUGGAGGUGAGGUAACACACACACACACCAUGAUGGAGGUGAGGUAACACACACACACACACACCAUGAUGGAGGUGAGGUAACACACACACACACACCAUGAUGGAGGUGAGGUAACACACACACACACACACCAUGAUGGAGGUGAGGUAACAC